rnacentral:lncRNA from 1 species
UCUCUUACCUUACCUGCAAGUUACAGCAAGAUCAGAUUUUGAAACAAACAAGGGGAACAGCAGUCGUCAGGGUCUCACCAAACAUACCUUCGGUCUCCUCCUUUGCCUUCGUCAGCUUCUCCUGGACCAGCUUCAAGUUCAGCUCGAGUUGAGUGUGCUUGUUUUCCAGCUCAGAGUAGCGAGCCACAAGAUCACAGGAGUUCUACAAAGAACCAAUCGACUAGAUGUCAAAAAUAAUUCACUUCCGAGUGAAAAAGGGAAAAAUCACACGUUUCUAAGACUACAGCCGAAUACAAGCAUUCGACCGUAGUCUCGGGGACUACACCCAGUGGGUGCACUCAGCGUGCCCCCACUAAUCCUAUUGAAGAUAGAGUCGACCAGUCGACCUCAAAAAAAAAGAGAGAUGUAUUCUUUAAGACUGUAAUCGACUGCAAGCAGUCGACCACAGUCUCGGGGACUACACCCAGUGGGUGCACUCAGCGUGCCCCCACCGGUUUGUGAAAUCCAGUCGACAUAGUCGAAUGACGGAAAGAUUGAAAUUAUAAAGCCUAAGGCCGACUGCCCGCAGUCGACCUUAGCCUCGGGGACUACACCCAGUGGGUGCACUCAGCGUGCCCCCACUAAUCCUAUUGAAGACAGAGUCGACCAGUCGACCGGAUUGCGAAAUCCAGUCGACUUGGUCGAAUGACAGAAAGACUGAAAUUAUAAAGUCUAAGGCCGACUGCCAGCAGUCGACCUUAGCCUGGGGGACUACACCCAGCGGGUGCACUCAGCGUGCCCCCGCUAACACGGAGUUUAAAUCGACACACCCAGUGGGUGACUACUAUAAAUUCUGGAAAGGAAAAGUUUUUGGUAGCGUAUCCUAACAGAACAAAUGGUGGUCGACUGACCUGAACAUUGCGUUGGAGGGCGGAACUAGCGUCGUAAGCUGCCUGGCUCGCAUCCCGGAUGGUCUUCAAUUGCUCCAUCAUGAUUCCUGCUUGGCGUAUCGCCUCCUUCGCCGCGCUAGCUUGGUCCUCUGGGA